rnacentral:rRNA from 1 species
UGGGGAAUAUUGGACAAUGGGGGCAACCCUGAUCCAGCAAUGCCGCGUGUGUGAAGAAGGUCUUCGGAUUGUAAAGCACUUUCGACGGGGACAAUGAUGACGGUACCCGUAGAAGAAGCCCCGGCUAACUUCGUGCCAGCAGCCGCGGUAAUACGAAGGGGGCUAGCGUUGCUCGGAAUGACUGGGCGUAAAGGGCGUGUAGGCGGUUUACACAGUCAGAUGUGAAAUCCCCGGGCUUAACCUGGGAGCUGCAUUUGAUACGUGUAGACUAGAGUGUGAGAGAGGGUUGUGGAAUUCCCAGUGUAGAGGUGAAAUUCGUAGAUAUUGGGAAGAACACCGGUGGCGAAGGCGGCAACCUGGCUCAUGACUGACGCUGAGGCGCGAAAGCGUGGGGAGCAAACAGGAU